rnacentral:rRNA from 1 species
UACGGAGGGGGCUAGCGUUGUUCGGAAUUACUGGGCGUAAAGCGCGCGUAGGCGGACCUGCAAGUCGGGGGUGAAAGCCCGAGGCUCAACCUCGGAACUGCCUUCGAUACUGCGGGUCUCGAGUCCGGGAGAGGUGAGUGGAACUGCGAGUGUAGAGGUGAAAUUCGUAGAUAUUCGCAAGAACACCAGUGGCGAAGGCGG